UGAGGAAUAUUGGUCAAUGGGCGAGAGCCUGAACCAGCCAAGUAGCGUGCAGGAUGACGGCCCUAUGGGUUGUAAACUGCUUUUAUGUGGGGAUAAAGUGAGCUACGUGUAGUUUAUUGCAGGUACCACAUGAAUAAGGACCGGCUAAUUCCGUGCCAGCAGCCGCGGUAAUACGGAAGGUCCAGGCGUUAUCCGGAUUUAUUGGGUUUAAAGGGAGCGUAGGCCGUGGAUUAAGCGUGUUGUGAAAUGUAGACGCUCAACGUCUGAAUUGCAGCGCGAACUGGUUCACUUGAGUAUGCGCAACGUAGGCGGAAUUCGUCGUGUAGCGGUGAAAUGCUUAGAUAUGACGAAGAACUCCGAUUGCGAAGGCAGCUUACGGGAGCACAACUGACGCUGAAGCUCGAAGGUGCGGGUAUCAAACAGGAUUAGAUACCCUGGUAGUCCGCACAGUAAACGCUGGAUGCCCGUUGUUAGUUCACUUAAGAAUUAGCGACCAAGCGAAAGCAUUAAGCAUCCCACCUGGGGAGUACGCCGGCAACGGU
rnacentral:rRNA from 1 species